GUAGGGAAUAUUGGUCAAUGGACGAAAGUCUGAACCAGCCAUUCCGCGUGCAGGAAGAAGAUUCUAUGGAUUGUAAACUGCUUUUAGCAGAGAAGAAACGCCUUCAUUGAUGAGGGUUUGACGGUAUCUGCGGAAUAAGCACCGGCUAACUCCGUGCCAGCAGCCGCGGUAAUACGGGGGGUGCAAGCGUUAUCCGGAAUCACUGGGUUGAAAGGGUGCGUAGGCGGGAAAUUAAGUCAGUGGUGAAAGUCUGUUGCUUAACGAUAGAAUUGCCGGUGAUACUGAUUUUCUUGAAUUGGGUUGAGGUUAGCGGAAUGUGACAUGUAGCGGUGAAAUGCAUAGAUAUGUCAUGGAACACCAAUUGCGAAGGCAGCUAGCUGGGCCUUGAUUGACGCUGAGGCACGAAAGCGUGGGUAGCGAACAGGAUUAGAAACCCGAGUAGUCC
rnacentral:rRNA from 1 species